ensembl:rRNA 5S_rRNA 5S ribosomal RNA
GUCUAGGCCGCACCAUCCAGCAGACGCCUGGUCUCCUCUGAUCUCGUGAAGCUUAGCAGGGUCGGGCCUGGUUAGUACUUGGAUGGGAUUCCGCCUGGAAAUAGCAGGUACCAUAGGCU